CAUCUCCUUAAUCGGAGAGUUCCCUUCGGGGACAUUGGUGACAGGUGGUGCAUGGUUGUCGUCAGCUCGUGUCGUGAGAUGUUGGGUUAAGUCCCGCAACGAGCGCAACCCUUGUCUUUAGUUGCCAUCAUUAAGUUGGGCACUCUAGAGAGACUGCCAGGGAUAACCUGGAGGAAGGUGGGGAUGACGUCAAAUCAUCAAGCCCCUUAUGCUUAAGGGCAACACCGGGCUACCAGGGGUAGUACAAGGGGUUGCCAAGCCGUAAGGUGGAGCUAAUCCCUUAAAGCUACUCUCAGUUCGGAUUGUAGGCUGAAACUCGCCUACAUGAAGCUGGAGUUACUAGUAAUCGCAGAUCAGAAUGCUGCGGUGAAUGCGUUCCCGGGUCUUGUACACACCGCCCGUCACACCACGGGAGUUGGAGACGCCCGAAGCCGAUUA
rnacentral:rRNA from 1 species